ACUCUCUGUGUUCCAACUCCUGUUCGUCCACACCCCCUUUUCCCUUCUUUCAGUCUGCUAGAGAGAAAGAGAGAGCGAGAAAGAGAGAGCGAGAAAGAGAGAGCGAGAACGAGAGCGUAACUCCAUGUGAGACAGAGGGGGAGGUGAACGCAAGGAGGACCUGUAAAGGGGCUGUACAAACUAGCCAUAACAUACACACCGAAGCACUUGGGAGUACAGGAAGCAGCAGUUGAGAGGAAGAUCACUGACUCAUUGUACCCUGGCAGCAGUGGAGGUUCAUCCAGUGGCCUUUAAUUUCAACUACACAACUAGAGACAUUAAGCCCUGUCUGGAUAUACCAUAUACUUGCCCGAGGAGUUUUUUUGGACCUAAUCUGAAACAAGCAAAUAAACUAUGCCACUGUGAUGGUGGGUUAGAGAUCAUAUCACUGGGCUUAAGCCACCCAGAUAGCCUCGGUCAGUAAUACAGGGAUAAGGAAUGAAAACUACAGAAACCAUUUGUUUAAAAUCCAAACAUAUGGACUGAGCACAAUUAAGCCUUGCUUGAAAGUUUAGCGAUUACAAUAGCCGCAGUCAGAACAUUUGGACAACCUUUCAGCUGAAUGUGUUUUUUCAUGUGCUAAUGAAACGACAGGAAAGCACCAAGCACUCCCCUUCAUCUUAACAUUGUUGAAACAUUUUGAGAGCAAGGGCUACAUGUGCCUUUAAAGAAACAGUCUGCCUCGGGGAGAUUGCGAUAAACUCAAGGGGCAUGUUUUGGUGACUUUGACUCAAAAAGAAAGACAAAUAUCUGGAUAAGACAUCGAAAACAGACGCAAAUAGAACAGAGGACAGUUUGCCAGCUUUUGCCGCAUUUGCACAAGAGCAUAUCCCAGUUGUGAAAUUUUCUUGGCACUUUUCCAUGGGAACUGAUCCAGGGUGCAUUGAGAAGUACCUCCAGGGAGGUCUUGUUAGAGUUUGAAUAAUAUUGUGUGGAUUGAAAGCAAAAGUACAUUUCUCAGCUCAUCUCUGGGCGGUAGCGCGUCUACUCCGAAGGAUUACCGUGAAGAAAAUGUCCAGCAAAAUGUAGAGCUUUAGUUUAACUUUGAUCCUGCUUUUGAUCUUUGUUUCUUCAAAAGUCGGGAAGCAUAAAACAGUCAGCGGAUCCCGAAACCACCUCUUACAAGUCAAACUUACGCCCCAGCUGAGAAAAAGAAAGCUUUUGUCAUACCCAGGCAAGUGUGCCGGCUAAAAGGGGGCUCAGCGAAAGAAGAGAGUCUCUUAAGCAAGG
rnacentral:lncRNA from 1 species